UACGUAGGGGGCAAGCGUUGUCCGGAUUUAUUGGGCGUAAAGAGCGUGUAGGCGGCCAGGUAGGUCAGCUGUGAAAACUCGAGGCUCAACCUCGAGACGUCGGUUGAAACCGUCUGGCUAGAGUCCGGAAGAGGAGAGUGGAAUUCCCGGUGUAGCGGUGAAAUGCGCAGAUAUCGGGAAGAACACCCGUGGCGAAGGCGGCUCUCUGGGACGGUACUGACGCUGAGACGCGAAAGCGUGGGGAGCGAACAGG
rnacentral:rRNA from 1 species